GACCUGAGCUCAGGCAAGGCUACCC
rnacentral:rRNA from 2 species